rnacentral:lncRNA from 1 species
UAUGUUGUAAUGAAUUUAUUCAAAAUGGAAAACCAUUCAUCAUUAAACAUACCAUUUGGUAAACAGAUCAUCAACUAGUAUCACAUGAUAAUUGUAAAAUAAAAGUAAAAUAAAAUUAAUCCAGGAUUUAAUGCAUUCAGUCAAGCAAUAGUCAAAUAUAUUUAAUCAUUGACAAUUCAGAUUUUACAAUAGUUAAGGUACCAUAGAAAUGGUAUCGAAAUUGAUUAAACUUUGAAAUGCAUAUUUCAUUACCUUGUAUAUCAUAACUAAGCAAACAAUUUGAAAUUCUAUUAUAAAAUAAAUAUUUAUAGCCUUAAGUUCUUUUCUAUCUAAAUUUAUAACCACAGUCUUAUUGUAGUUAGUUUAUUAUGGUAAACAAUAUCUUAAAUAGAAUCCAAUAUAGAAUCAAAAGUAAUUUGUGUUUGAUUUCUGUCAACCUAAAGGUUUAUGACAUAUCUCUCAAACUAAAAUAUGUGUAGAAUUGAUCAACCAUAAUAUCUUAUUUUUAAGGUUCUGUCAUUCUAUAAGAACUACAUAACUAUUUUCUUAGAUCAUUGGAAUUUCUUUUGACAAAAUUUGCUAUCCCAUUUCAAAUUUUCGUUGACAGAAUUGUAUCUAUUUCAUGGGUCCAGAAAACAAACAUUAAAUAGAAAUGCCCUCACUACACUGUAAGUAUUAUCAGGAACGUUACCAGUAAAACAACUGGUUCCAAUGAGACAUUUAACAGUAAAUAAACUGCUGGUUGUAUAAAUUGUGUUCACUUCUUGUUUUUCAUUUAAAAAAAGGAUAUGUUUUUUUUUAAUAUAUAACAACUUAUUUAUUAAUAAUCAAAUGCUAGUACGUGUUAUUGUAUUUGUCUAUAGUAUUUCAGUGUAAAUGAUAAAUUUUCUAGUGCAUGCUUAUAUACUUUUUUAAUUCUACUUGAUUCGAACCUUUGAAUAUUUUAGGUUUAGAAUUACAUGAUAUCUGGUAAAAUAACACUCACAUCCAUCACACAUAAAAAUCAUUGAAAUGAGACAAAAAUAUAUGAACUAAAAUUAAAACUUUGCAAGAUUAACAGUAUUAAUGUAUUUAUUUAUUAUAAUUAAAUUUACACAAUAUGUGUAAAAAAAAAUAAAUUAUUUUAAUAUUUUGAAAAUAAAAAGUGUCUUUUAAUAUUGUCUAAACAUUACCAAAUCAAGGUACAUAAAAAAUAAUUUACUUUAUCUUUAUGUUUUUCUUGCAAGGUAAAUAUUGAGAAAUUGGCUUUGCUGUUUUACUUGCAAGGUAGAUAUAGACACAUUGGCUGUACUGUUUUUUUAUUGCAAAGUAAAUAAUGCAAUAUUGGCUAAGUACAAAUCUGAGCAUAAAAAAUAAGUAAAACUCUUUUUAAAACUUUUUUUAGAGUCACAUUUAAGACUAGAUUGUUAAUAAAUGAAUAAUUGUGAUUCUAAAUUUAUUAUGGUUAAUAAGUUUAUGAUAUUUACAAGUGCAUUUGGAAAAAUUCAUUUAAUUUUCAUUAAUAGUCGUACAUAAAAAUUUUCAUAUUCAGAGAGCUUAAAAAAUGUUUUAUGUAUGGACCAUUAAACAUGCUACAUCAUCAUAUUGCAUUGAACAAUGAUUAAUUUGUACUAAGAAUAACUAAAAUAUAAUUGUUUAACAAAUAUGUACAGAACUAUAUAUAAAACUAUAAAACAAAAAAUGUUUGCACUAUGAUACACAAUAAACACAUAAAAUUACAUUAACCACAACCUGUAGCACCGAUUGGUUGGUGGAGAGACAACCUGUAUAUAGUGAAAAUAAAUGUUAACUAUUUGGUCCUAGGGUCGAAUUUAUAGGAACAGUUACAUUGUCAAAAUUGAAGCUUGAAUGAGUUUAUGUCUAAAUGAUGGUAAUACUACAAGUUUAAGAUAACUUGCAAGGCUUUCAUGUAUUUGGUUUGCAUCUUUUUAUUGGGUAUAAAAGAAAUUAAAUUACAUUUUUUUGGUAAGUGUAUUAAUAAGUCUUCACAGCAAAAAUAAUAAAAUUGUAUUCUAAUGAAUGCAUAGAUAUAAUUUACUUUUCAGGGCAGGGCAUCAUUUGACAUAAACAUAAAUUCAAACCUCAAAAUCAAUUAUUUCAUUAUUCAUAAUAUCCUUUAUUUAAGUUUAAUAUGUUAAAAAGAUCCUCUUGUAAUUUUUCUUGUCAUUGAAUUAUGACCCUUACAAUUAAUAGUUUUGCUUUUGCAGUUUUUUCUUUUAGUAAAAACGGAAACUUAGUUUUGAUAUCAAAAUCUUUUCUAUCUCAAAGUAAUCUUGAAAAAAUCAUUAAUAGAAAUAUCUGAAUUACAUUAUAAUAAAAUUAUGCAUUCAAUGAAUUUUUUGAGAAAGUACAUCCACGAAAAAAAAAAAUGCAAAUUAAUCUUGUGAAAUGCCAACGGGAUAAAAAGCUAAAUAAAUAAUUUCCCUGAACUAAUGGUUUUGAUUAUGCUUUUUAAAAUAUUAAAAGUACAAAAAACUAAUAAAAUUAUUGUGGUAUUUCAGAAAAAAUAAAGUCUUUGUUAUCUUAAAUAAAAUGUAUCUAUAUAUUUAAUAUUUAUCACAAAUGCUGAAUGUUAUUUCUGAUAUGGAAUGGAUACCUAGAAACAAUUAUAAAACAAUGCUGACAUGACUUGCAUAGAAAAAUAUAUACUUUUUAACAUAUUCACAACCACAUAAAACCAAUAUCAACAUAGUUCAUGGAGAAUAUUUAACAUCACGUUUAAUUCGUAAAUAAGUCCAUGAAAAAGUAAAUUGGUCCAUAUUUUUUUUUAGAUUCACGAAAAAUAUAUUUCUCAUACUUUGAAUUAAUAGUUGAUAUGUAUAAUUUAAAUAGAAUCUAUUUAUAAAAUUCAUUUUUUCAAUAUUUGGAAUUUGUUAUUUGAUAUGAUUUAGGUAUCGUGUAAAAAUACAAUAAAUAAGAUUUAAAUACAACAUUUAAAACAUUUCUCUCCUUGUUAGGUGUAUAACACAACCUAAUUUUUGGUUUAAAGACCUUUAUCAUGAUAAGUUGAAAUCAACAAAACUUAAAUUGCACUUUGCAAAAACAAAUUAUUCUAAUGCUUGUGUGUUUGCAGAAUGCAUCAACAAAAAAAUUAUUCUAUACAAAAAGAAUUAGUUUUAAUCAUAUUAAAUUGUAUAUCAUUCAUUUUCUACAUCAAUUCAAAUGAAUAAAUGAAAUUGUUUUGAUCAGCUUAUUCAACAAUUGAGCUGUGUGGGAUAAAGGUCGACCUUAUGCAAAUAAAUAAAAUUACCUCUGUAAAUUUAUUUGGGGUUGAAUAAAUCUCUAUACAAAGUCUGUACCUGUUUGAAAAUUGAUUCAAUAUAUUUUUUUUAAUUUUGUAUUUAACCUUUACAAAAUUAAUCAAAAGCAUAUACAUGAACACGAAUAUGCACACUUGCAUAAGGUCCAUUCCUUACUGAUGCAGCUCAUUUGAAUUACAUCUCAUUGUCAAAUAAAUUGAGUAUUGUUAAAAUUUGUUAAAUUUUUAAUCUUACCAAGAAUGUACAUAUACAUAUAUCUCUAAAAAAAGAUAUUUAGAUAUUCUGUUUUUUGUAUAUGUACAUUUCAAAAUUUACAAUUGUUAAUCUUACAUUUGUGAAAAAAUAACAUAGUAUCUAUGUACAUAAAUAGUGUUUAAUAUUCUAUGUACAUAUAUGAACAACAACCAUAUAUUAUCACAAAACAUAUUCUUAUUAAAACCCAUGGAUUUGCCGUGAUCCUAUAAGAAAUUACAGGCACACUUAUAGUGUUUUAAAUCUGGUUACUAUAUCAUGUACAUUAGAGUAAACAAUACUGACUGGUUAAAUAAUUCUCAGAUUUUUAGCUGAAUACUUUUCGUUCUUAUUGGGGGAAUUUCCCAAACAUUCUAUUAUCAAACAAAAAAUCAUUAAAUACACAAUAAAUAGUAUACACUGCAAGCUUACAUCACUUUAAUAUCCAUUCUAAUGUAGACAAUAUAUAUACAGUGUUCUCCCCAGAAAUUUUGGAUAGCAUCACAUUUAGCGUAAAAAAAAUAACUGUAUUUUUUUUAAUGUCGU